AACCCUAAACCCUGAAGCGAGAUUGUGGUGGGAAGCUUAGGAGAGUGCAGAAAAUGUGUAGCCUUCAACCUGAGGUUGUGGCCAACCGUGGCUACGAGCUCCGUCUCAUUCGCUGCACCCUCAAUCCUUCGCCGCCGUCGGAUCCCAGUCAUGAACGUGAACCGUUGGAUGGCCUCAUCAAGGACCUCUUGAAUUCCAUCGAGUGUGGCAACUACGUGGAAGCACUCACCUCCCAACCCUCUUCCUCACUCGUUUUCCGACUCGGCCAUGACUCGCCGCCCCUCGACACCGCCGAGCGCUUCUACUCCGAGUUGGUUGACCGCGCCGAGUCCUUUAUCGGAGAUGCUUCCCCUAACGCCGGCGAACAAGCUCGCAGGGCGAUACUCGUCAUGUGCAUCGCCGUCGCUGCAUUUCUAGGGUUCACUCAAUGUAACUUCACCGGGCCUUUGAAGGGGUCGGUGCUACCGAGAUGUCCUUUGCCUGUGGAUGGUGGUGACGAACGCGUAGAAUGGGACAAUUGGGCGCGCAAUCAGCUUAUGUCUGCUGGUUCCGACUUGCUUGGAAAGUUCUCGAAUCUUCAGUAUAUAGUUUUUGCCAAGAUGUUACUUGUGCGGAUGAAAGAUUUAUCAAUUGAGAUUAGAAGCCUUUCUUGGUGGCUUGCGAGGGUUUUGCUUCUUCAACAGAGAAUUUUGGAUGAGCGGUCUUCUUCUUUGUUUGAUCUCUUGCAAGUCUAUAUGGGGGAAGCUUUACGGAAAUUUGACACUUCGGAACAAGUUCAGAGUUACUGGGAUGCUGAUUUACGUGAUGGAGAGAGCUUGACGAUUGUUUCUAUGCUUCAUGUAGAGGCUGGCAUUAUGGAAUAUGUUUAUGGACGAGUUGACUCUUGCAGGACACAUUUUGAGUCAGCUGAGUUGGCAGCUGGGCUUCAGCUUUCAGUCACUGGGGUACUUGGUUUCCGUACUGUACAUCAGGCAGAACCAAAGGCACAGAUGGUACUUGUUACCAACACAAGUUCAUCAAAUAAUGCGGAUAACUGCCGCGUAAUGGGUGCUGGCAUCCAAACACAUGAUUCCAACAAUGGUGAAUAUAACUGGCAUCUGCAUCAAUGUGAAACCUCUGAAGCAUCAGACAUACUUAGAAUACCAAAGUUGUUAGACAAUGUGGAUGACUCUAAUACUAGAACACAAGCCAAGGAAAAUGGUGCCUGUGAUACUCCCAGUUUGUCAGCAACACAACAAGCUGUGAUUCUGGCAUAUUGCACUCUAAUUGAGAAGAGCUCCCGACAUGAUGAGUUGCAGCGGUGGGAUAUGGCUCCUUACAUUGAGGCAAUUGAUUCCCAGCAUUUGUUUUACUUCACUAUACGGUGUUUAAGUGAUAUUUUGCGUAUACGUUGGGAGUCAUCCCGUACCCGAACUAAGGAGCGUGCCUUAUUGAUGAUGGAUAACUUGGUUAAACGGAUUUACGAAUCUUCUCCACCGAUGGCAGAAAGAAUUGCUUUUAGUUAUGCUGUUUAUAUGCCUAGUAUUCCUGCAUUAAGAAAGGAAUAUGGGUUACUUUUGGUGCGGUGCGGUUUGAUAGGGGAGGCAGUGAAGGAGUUUGAAGAUUUAGAAUUAUGGGACAAUCUUAUAUACUGCUACAGUUUGUUGGAGAAGAAAGCAACAGCUGUUGAACUCAUCAGGAAAUGUCUUUCAGAGAGACCAAAUGACCCCAGGUUAUGGUGCUCUCUGGGUGACACUACCACUAACGAUGCAUGCUAUGAAAAAGCACUGGAAGUUUCCAACAAUAAGUCUGCUAGAGCGAAGCGUUCUCUGGCUCGCAGUGCAUACAACAAAGGAGACUAUGAGACAUCUAAAAUUUUGUGGGAGUCUGCAAUGUCAAUGAACUCAUUGUAUCCAGAUGGUUGGUUUGCACUUGGGGCUACUGCUUUGAAGGCUCGUGAUAUUCAAAAGGCUCUGGAUGCAUUUACUCGUGCUGUUCAACUUGAUCCUGAAAAUGGGGAAGCUUGGAAUAACAUUGCUUGCCUGCAUAUGAUCAAGAAAAAGAGCAAGGAGGCAUUCAUUUCAUUUAAAGAAGCCUUGAAAUUCAAGCGAAACAGCUGGCAACUAUGGGAGAACUACAGCCAUGUUGCUGUUGACGUUGGCAAUAUUAGUCAGGCCCUGGAAGGUAUCCGAAUGGUUUUGGACAUGACAGAUAAUAAGAGAGUAGAUACUGAAUUAUUAGAAAGAAUCACAAGGGAGGUGGAAAAUCGGCUUCGAACAAGUAAUUUGUCUCCUUUGACAACUAAUAAUAAUCCUGAAACAGAUCAAGUCUCCGUUUCUGGAUCAGAAAAUCAACAGCAAUUAUCUGGAGCAUCUCUUGUAGGAACAUCACGUGAAACUGAACAAUUAUUGUUGUUACUUGGAAAAGUUUUACAACAGGAUCAAACUGUCAGAUGCCAGUGACAGACUGACAGUGUAAUUCAAUGAUGUGUUUGCUCUGCAAGUUAAAUAUAGGUUUUGCUGGCUAAAGAUAUGCAAGUUACAGAUGUCCAGGUUAACAUUUAAUACUGUGAUACAGAUAGUUAAGAGUGGGAGUGGAUGCGGACCUGAUGUCUGGGGCUUAUAUGCCAAAUGGCACAGAAUUAAUGGAGAUCUCAUGAUGUGUUCUGAAGCCCUCUUAAAGCAAGUUAGGUCACUCCAGGGAUCUGAUACGUGGAAUGACCGAGAUCGUUUCAAAAAGUUUGCAAAAGCAUCUUUGGAACUUUGCCAGGUGUAUGUGGAAAUUUCCUCAUCCACUGGUAGUAUUAAACAAUUGUUUACGGCUGAGAUGCACUUGAAGAAUGUCGUCAGACAGGCUCAGAGCUUCUCCGAUACAGAAGAGUUCAGGGAUCUUCAGGCUUGCUAUGAUGAAGUGAAAGUUAAACUGAACUCAAUGCCUAGCUAAAAUCUUGUUGAAGGUAUUAUUUGGAUUUAUUACGUAAGCUCUAACCUAAAUAUUCGAUCUGGUGUCAUUUUGUUGGGACUGAGCACACUGAACCUGCAGAGGCAUAUAUUUAUUUAGAAUGGCUGUGACCUGUUUUCUCAUCAGUAGGGAAGGUCAAGAUGUUGCUUUCAGAAUCCUGAAUGUGGCAAUAUCACCAAUUGGUGUUAAAGGACGUGCCUUGUAUCAUAUCGUGUAAAUUACAUAUUUUGAGCACUAUCUAAUUGAAGUGCAAUUUUUGUCAAAUUAUAUCAUUUUGGAACAUAGGUUAUAUUUCAAUUAUUUUAUUU